AAAUUAUUUUUGGAUAAUUGAUUAAUUUAUUAAUUUUUAGAUACUGGUUAUCAGUUUUCUCAAGGACCAUUGGAAGGAAUGGAUAUGAGCAGUUCUCCAUUAUUUAUGUCAUCUUCGUCUAAAGUUAAGCCUGUUUCAAAUUCAAACCCAAUAACUCUGGAGUUAUAAGAGAACUUUUUAUAGACUCUCCAAUUACAACACCUAAAAAGAUUACCAGUAAUAGAAAAAACUCAAAUUUUACAAUAUCUACACUGAUUGAACUAAAUGUAAAAUUGAACAAAGUAAUUUUAAACCAGGCAAGACAACAACAAAUGCUUGAAAAAAUAUGCAAACAACUUAAGCCUAAUAACGAUGAAAGCAUGUGUGAUGAUGAUGAUGUUAUUUUGGAAAGAUUUCCAAUUGAUAGUUUAGCUAGAUUAAAUGAAGUUAAUAUGACU